rnacentral:rRNA from 1 species
GAUGAACGCUAGCGGCAGGCCUAAUACAUGCAAGUCGAACGGACCGCAAGGUCAGUGGCGAACGGGUGCGUAACGCGUAAGGAACCUGCCCCUCACUGGGGGAUAGCUUUGCGAAAGCGAAGGUAAACCCGCAUGGUUCAGUCGAACGGCAUCGUUCGACUGAUAAACAUUUAUGGGUGAGGGAGGGUCUUGCGUCUGAUUAGUUAGUUGGCAGGGUAACGGCCUACCAAGACGAUGAUCAGUAGGGGCUCUGAGAGGAGGGUCCCCCACAUGGGCACUGAGACACGGGCCCAACUCCUACGGGAGGCAGCAGUAGGGAAUAUUGGGCAAUGGGCGAGAGCCUGACCCAGCCAUGCCGCGUGCAGGACGAAGGCCCUCUGGGUUGUAAACGGCUUUUGACGGGGAAGAAACGACCCUUGCGAGGGGCAUUGACGGUACCCACAGAAUAAGCACCGGCUAACUCCGUGCCAGCAGCCGCGGUAAU